AAAGAGUGUAGAGGUUGCACUGAUUAACAGUACAUUGUCUGAUAUGACAGGAAUAGAUGAUGACAAUGGAAAGGAGUCGGUGCCGAAGCUGUAUUAACCUGUAUUAAUGCAAGCUGGGCAUAUAUAUAAUAUGUAUAUGACUGUCAUCGUAAGAUGGGGAGCUACCUAAAGU
rfam:Butyrivibrio crossotus CAG:259 genomic scaffold, scf140